GAGGGUAUAGCUCAGUGGUAGAACAUGUGCUUAGCAUGCAAGAGGUCCUGGGGUCAAUCCCUAGUACUUCCA
rnacentral:tRNA from 1 species